rnacentral:rRNA from 1 species
CAUGGAGGGUGAGAAUCCCGUACGGCCGAAUUGAUGCGUUUUGCGAUACGCUUUCAAAGAGUCAAGUUGUUUGGGAAUGCAGCUUAAAAUGGGAGGUAAAUUUCUCCUAAGGCUAAAUAUUGGCGAGAGACCGAUAGCGAACAAGUACCGUGAGGGAAAGAUGAAAAGUACUUUGAAAAGAGAGUUAAAUAGCACGUGAAAUUGUUGAAAGGGAAACGAUUGAAGUCAGUCGUACUUACGAGUAAUCAACCUUUUAAGUCUAGGGCGUAUUUGCUCGUAUGUAGGUCAACAUCAGUUUCGGUCGUUACAAAAUGACUGGAGGAAUGUGGCUUCGAUUUCGAUUGAAGUGUUAUAGCCUCUGGUAUAUGUAAUGACUCGGGACUGAGGAUUGCAACGAAUACCCUUUGGGCUAUUCGUCUGGUUUCUGACUGUCGCUUUGGUGCCGAAAGCUUGCUUACGGUUAUCGAGGUUGAUGGUCAAUAGAUUAGAAGGGUAAAUGGGUUAAACGGAUUAAAUUCGUUAAGGAUGUUGACGUAAUG